GUGGGGAAUAUUGGACAAUGGGGGGAACCCUGAUCCAGCCAUGCCGCGUGUGUGAAGAAGGCCUUUUGGUUGUAAAGCACUUUAAGCGAGGAGGAGGCUACCGAGAUUAAUACUCUUGGAUAGUGGACGUUACUCGCAGAAUAAGCACCGGCUAACUCUGUGCCAGCAGCCGCGGUAAUACAGAGGGUGCGAGCGUUAAUCGGAUUUACUGGGCGUAAAGCGUGCGUAGGCGGCUUUUUAAGUCGGAUGUGAAAUCCCCGAGCUUAACUUGGGAAUUGCAUUCGAUACUGGGAAGCUAGAGUAUGGGAGAGGAUGGUAGAAUUCCAGGUGUAGCGGUGAAAUGCGUAGAGAUCUGGAGGAAUACCGAUGGCGAAGGCAGCCAUCUGGCCUAAUACUGACGCUGAGGUACGAAAGCAUGGGGAGCAAACAGGAUUAGAUACCCGAGUAGUCC
rnacentral:rRNA from 1 species